CCUACGGGCGGCAGCAGUGAGGAAUAUUGGUCAAUGGGCGGAAGCCUGAACCAGCCAAGUCGCGUGAGGGAAUAAGGCCCUACGGGUCGUAAACCUCUUUUGCCGGGGAGCAAGGGCGGGGACGUGUCCCGUCCCGGAGAGUACCCGGAGAAAAAGCAUCGGCUAACUCCGUGCCAGCAGCCGCGGUAAUACGGAGGAUGCGAGCGUAAUCCGGAUUUAUUGGGUUUAAAGGGUGCGUAGGCGGGCUUUUAAGUCAGCGGUAAAAAUUCGGGGCUCAACCCCGUCCGGCCGUUGAAACUGGGGGCCUUGAGUGGGCGAGAAGAAGGCGGAAUGCGUGGUGUAGCGGUGAAAUGCAUAGAUAUCACGCAGAACCCCGAUUGCGAAGGCAGCCUUCCGGCGCCCUACUGACGCUGAGGCACGAAAGUGCGGGGAUCGAACAGGAUUAGAUACCCCAGUAGUC
rnacentral:rRNA from 1 species